GAUUAAGUUAUUAAGGGCGCACGGUGGAUGCCUUGGCACUAGAAGCCGAUGAAGGACGUUACUAACGACGAUAUGCUUUGGGGAGCUGUAAGUAAGCUUUGAUCCAGAGAUUUCCGAAUGGGGAAACCCAGCAUGAGUUAUGUCAUGUUAUCGAUAUGUGAAUACAUAGCAUAUCAGAAGGCACACCCGGAGAACUGAAACAUCUUAGUACCCGGAGGAAGAGAAAGAAAAUUCGAUUCCCUUAGUAGCGGCGAGCGAAACGGGAAGAGCCCAAACCAACAAGCUUGCUUGUUGGGGUUGUAGGACACUCUAUACGGAGUUACAAAGGACGACAUUAGACGAAUCAUCUGGAAAGAUGAAUCAAAGAAGGUAAUAAUCCUGUAGUCGAAAAUGUUGUCUCUCUUGAGUGGAUCCUGAGUACGACGGAGCACGUGAAAUUCCGUCGGAAUCUGGGAGGACCAUCUCCUAAGGCUAAAUACUCUCUAGUGACCGAUAGUGAACCAGUACCGUGAGGGAAAGGUGAAAAGCACCCCGGAAGGGGAGUGAAAUAGAACCUGAAACCGUGUGCUUACAAGUAGUCAGAGCCCGUUAAUGGGUGAUGGCGUGCCUUUUGUAGAAUGAACCGGCGAGUUACGAUUUGAUGCAAGGUUAAGCAGUAAAUGUGGAGCCGUAGCGAAAGCGAGUCUGAAUAGGGCGUUUAGUAUUUGGUCGUAGACCCGAAACCAGGUGAUCUACCCUUGGUCAGGUUGAAGUUCAGGUAACACUGAAUGGAGGACCGAACCGACUUACGUUGAAAAGUGAGCGGAUGAACUGAGGGUAGCGGAGAAAUUCCAAUCGAACCUGGAGAUAGCUGGUUCUCUCCGAAAUAGCUUUAGGGCUAGCCUCAAGUGAUGAUUAUUGGAGGUAGAGCACUGUUUGGACGAGGGGCCCCUCUCGGGUUACCGAAUUCAGACAAACUCCGAAUGCCAAUUAAUUUAACUUGGGAGUCAGAACAUGGGUGAUAAGGUCCGUGUUCGAAAGGGAAACAGCCCAGACCACCAGCUAAGGUCCCAAAAUAUAUGUUAAGUGGAAAAGGAUGUGGCGUUGCCCAGACAACUAGGAUGUUGGCUUAGAAGCAGCCAUCAUUUAAAGAGUGCGUAAUAGCUCACUAGUCGAGUGACACUGCGCCGAAAAUGUACCGGGGCUAAACAUAUUACCGAAGCUGUGGAUUGUCCUUUGGACAAUGGUAGGAGAGCGUUCUAAGGGCGUUGAAGCAUGAUCGUAAGGACAUGUGGAGCGCUUAGAAGUGAGAAUGCCGGUGUGAGUAGCGAAAGACGGGUGAGAAUCCCGUCCACCGAUUGACUAAGGUUUCCAGAGGAAGGCUCGUCCGCUCUGGGUUAGUCGGGUCCUAAGCUGAGGCCGACAGGCGUAGGCGAUGGAUAACAGGUUGAUAUUCCUGUACCACCUAUAAUCGUUUUAAUCGAUGGGGGGACGCAGUAGGAUAGGCGAAGCGUGCGAUUGGAUUGCACGUCUAAGCAGUAAGGCUGAGUAUUAGGCAAAUCCGGUACUCGUUAAGGCUGAGCUGUGAUGGGGAGAAGACAUUGUGUCUUCGAGUCGUUGAUUUCACACUGCCGAGAAAAGCCUCUAGAUAGAAAAUAGGUGCCCGUACCGCAAACCGACACAGGUAGUCAAGAUGAGAAUUCUAAGGUGAGCGAGCGAACUCUCGUUAAGGAACUCGGCAAAAUGACCCCGUAACUUCGGGAGAAGGGGUGCUCUUUAGGGUUAACGCCCAGAAGAGCCGCAGUGAAUAGGCCCAAGCGACUGUUUAUCAAAAACACAGGUCUCUGCUAAACCGUAAGGUGAUGUAUAGGGGCUGACGCCUGCCCGGUGCUGGAAGGUUAAGAGGAGUGGUUAGCUUCUGCGAAGCUACGAAUCGAAGCCCCAGUAAACGGCGGCCGUAACUAUAACGGUCCUAAGGUAGCGAAAUUCCUUGUCGGGUAAGUUCCGACCCGCACGAAAGGCGUAACGAUUUGGGCACUGUCUCAACGAGAGACUCGGUGAAAUCAUAGUACCUGUGAAGAUGCAGGUUACCCGCGACAGGACGGAAAGACCCCGUGGAGCUUUACUGUAGCCUGAUAUUGAAAUUCGGCACAGCUUGUACAGGAUAGGUAGGAGCCUUUGAAACGUGAGCGCUAGCUUACGUGGAGGCGCUGGUGGGAUACUACCCUAGCUGUGUUGGCUUUCUAACCCGCACCACUUAUCGUGGUGGGAGACAGUGUCAGGCGGGCAGUUUGACUGGGGCGGUCGCCUCCUAAAAGGUAACGGAGGCGCUCAAAGGUUCCCUCAGAAUGGUUGGAAAUCAUUCAUAGAGUGUAAAGGCAUAAGGGAGCUUGACUGCGAGACCUACAAGUCGAGCAGGGUCGAAAGACGGACUUAGUGAUCCGGUGGUUCCGCAUGGAAGGGCCAUCGCUCAACGGAUAAAAGCUACCCCGGGGAUAACAGGCUUAUCUCCCCCAAGAGUUCACAUCGACGGGGAGGUUUGGCACCUCGAUGUCGGCUCAUCGCAUCCUGGGGCUGUAGUCGGUCCCAAGGGUUGGGCUGUUCGCCCAUUAAAGCGGUACGCGAGCUGGGUUCAGAACGUCGUGAGACAGUUCGGUCCCUAUCCGUCGUGGGCGUAGGAAAUUUGAGAGGAGCUGUCCUUAGUACGAGAGGACCGGGAUGGACAUACCUCUGGUGUACCAGUUGUCGUGCCAACGGCAUAGCUGGGUAGCUAUGUGUGGACGGGAUAAGUGCUGAAAGCAUCUAAGCAUGAAGCCCCCCUCAAGAUGAGAUUUCCCAACUUCGGUUAUAAGAUCCCUCAAAGAUGAUGAGGUUAAUAGGUUCGAGGUGGAAGCAUGGUGACAU
rnacentral:rRNA from 1 species